rnacentral:rRNA from 1 species
AUUGAACGCUGGCGGAAUGCUUUACACAUGCAAGUCGAACGGCAGCACGGACUUCGGUCUGGUGGCGAGUGGCGAACGGGUGAGUAAUGUAUCGGAACGUGCCCAGUCGUGGGGGAUAACGUAGUGAAAAUUACGCUAAUACCGCAUACGAUCUAUGAAUGAAAGCGGGGGAUCGCAAAGCCUAGCGCGAUUGGAGCGGCCGAUAUCAGAUUAGGUAGUUGGUGGGGAAAAGGCCCACCAAGCCAACGAUCUGCAGCUGGUCUGAGAGGACGACCAGCCACACUGGAAAUGAGACACGGUCCAGACUCCUACGGGAGGCAGCAGUGGGGAAUUUUGGACAAUGGGCGAAAGCCUGAUCCAGCCAUUCCGCGUGCAGGAUGAAGGCCCUCGGGUUGUAAACUGCUUUUGUACAGAACGAAAAGGUUUCUACUAAUACUAGGAGCUCAUGACGGUACUGUAAGAAUAAGCACCGGCUAACUACGUGCCAGCAGCCGCCGUAA